rnacentral:tRNA from 2 species
GCGGACGUAGCCCAAUCGGCAGAGGCGACGGUCUCAAGCCCCGUCCAGUGCGAGUUCGACUCUCGCCGUCCGCA